rnacentral:rRNA from 1 species
GUGGCGCACGGGUGCGUAACGCGUGGGAAUCUGCCCUUGGGUUCGGAAUAACGGAGAGAAAUUUCCGCUAAUACCGAAUGAUGACGUAAGUCCAAAGAUUUAUCGCCCAAGGAUGAGCCCGCGUAGGAUUAGCUAGUUGGUGAGGUAAAGGCUCACCAAGGCGACGAUCCUUAGCUGGUCUGAGAGGAUGAUCAGCCACACUGGGACUGAGACACGGCCCAGACUCCUACGGGAGGCAGCAGUGGGGAAUAUUGGACAAUGGGCGAAAGCCUGAUCCAGCAAUGCCGCGUGAGUGAUGAAGGCCUUAGGGUUGUAAAGCUCUUUUACCCGGGAUGAUAAUGACAGUACCGGGAGAAUAAGCUCCGGCUAACUCCGUGCCAGCAGCCGCGGUAAUACGAAGGGGGCUAGCGUUGUUCGGAUUUACUGGGCGUAAAGCGCACGUAGGCGGACUUUUAAGUCAGGGGUGAAAUCCCGGGGCUCAACCCCGGAACUGCCUUUGAUACUGGAAGUCUUGAGUAUGGUAGAGGUGAGUGGAAUUCCGAGUGUAGAGGUGAAAUUCGUAGAUAUUCGCAAGAACACCGGUGGCGAAGGCGGCCAACUGGUCCGAUACUGACGCUGAGGCGCGAAAGC